AGUGAACGCUGGCGGUAGGCCUAACACAUGCAAGUCGAACGGCAGCACAGUAAGAGCUUGCUCUUACGGGUGGCGAGUGGCGGACGGGUGAGGAAUACAUCGGAAUCUACUUUUUCGUGGGGGAUAACGUAGGGAAACUUACGCUAAUACCGCAUACGACCUACGGGUGAAAGCAGGGGAUCUUCGGACCUUGCGCGAUUGAAUGAGCCGAUGUCGGAUUAGCUAGUUGGCGGGGUAAAGGCCCACCAAGGCGACGAUCCGUAGCUGGUCUGAGAGGAUGAUCGGCCACACUGGAACUGAGACACGGUCCAGACUCCUACGGGAGGCAGCAGUGGGGAAUAUUGGGCAAUGGGCGCAAGCCUGAUCCAGCCAUACCGCGUGGGUGAAGAAGGCCUUCGGGUUGUAAAGCCCUUUUGUUGGGAAAGAAAAGCAGCAGGUUAAUACCACGCUGUUCUGACGGUACCCAAAGAAUAAGCACCGGCUAACUUCGUG
rnacentral:rRNA from 1 species